CCCAGCAGUGGGGAGCCAGAGGGUGCGGGGGCGCCCGACAACCACGCCUCCCCGCCGCGGGGGCCGCGCGGGAGGGGCGCGCAGGCCCGCCGCUCGCCACCAGUGGAAGUCAAAAGGAAAGACUCAGGUUGUUGCUGAUCUGCUAAUGAUGGGGAAACCUCCCUCUCAGCCAUUUUUGUUUCCAUGAGCAUCACCUCUAGAUGAAGGACAGGUGCCCAGUUAUUCCCAAGGAAGAUAUGGUGCUAUUUUCAGUUUCAUCUUUCUUCAAAGGCUCUUCCUGCCUCUUUCAACAGAG